GGGGACUAUAUAAGAAUUAAUGAAGUUGUCACUAUCGCGAACUACCCCACGAUCUGGCAUAUUGGGUACAAUCACAGAUAAAUACGGUAUAAGCACCACGCCUACACAAUAUCUAUCAUUUACCCAUGGAUCCGAUGGAUAAACGCUAUACGAUCCAAAACAUGUAUAUAGAUCCAAUCUAACUAAGCCAAGUACAUAACUAUGAUAAACUAAGAACAAUAUAGUCUUGAAUAUAAACAAGUAGAGCAAAGUCAUAAGCAAUAUAUUGAAGUAGAACAAAGUUAUAUUCAUAAUAUUGAAGAACAAAGAUGAUUAGAAGAACAAUUAGAAGCACAAUUAGAGAAUUACCAAGAAUCCUCUUGAC
rnacentral:lncRNA from 1 species